AGAGUUUGAUCAUGGCUCAGAGUGAACGCUGGCGGCGUGCUUAACACAUGCAAGUCGAGCGAAGUGGCAGCUGUAGCAAUACAGUAUGUGCUUAGCGGCAGACGGGUGAGUAACACGUAGAUAAUUUACCUCUUAGCGGGGGGAUAGCCCGCCGAAAGGCGGGGUAAUACCGCGUACGAUUCGUCAGGGGCAUCCCUGGUGAAUGAAACACCUGUAAUGGUGGCUGAGAGAAAUAUCUGCGUCCUAUCAGCUAGUUGGUGAGGUAAUGGCUCACCAAGGCUACGACGGGUAUCCGACCUGAAAGGGUGACCGGACACACUGACACUGAGACACGGGUCAGACUCCUACGGGAGGCAGCAGUGAGGAAUUUUGGACAAUGGGGGAAACCCUGAUCCAGCGACGCCGCGUGAAGGAUGAAGGUCUUCGGAUUGUAAACUUCUUUUAUUUGGGACUAAGAAACCUGGUGAAAAUCGGGGAGUGAAUGUACCAAGUGAAUAAGCCACGGCUAACUUCGUGCCAGCAGCCGCGGUAAUACGAAGGUGGCAAGCGUUACUCGGAAUUACUAGGCGUAAAGGGCAGGUAGGUGGUUUGAUAAGUCUAUUGUGAAAGCUCCCGGCUCAACUGGGAGAGGCCAACAGAAACUAUCAGACUUGAGUAUGGGAGAGGGUACUGGAAUUCCCGGUGUAGCGGUGAAAUGCGCAGAGAUCGGGAGGAACACCAAUGGCGAAAGCAGGUACCUGGACCAUUACUGACACUCAGCUGCGAAAGCUAGGGGAGCAAACAGGAUUAGAUACCCUAGUAGUCC
rnacentral:rRNA from 1 species